AAAGUAGAAAUAACGAGAACAGCCUUGCUCUUUUUCUCCCUUCCAAGUAGGUAGGAGAAAAUUGCUUGAUUAGAUUAUAGGGUCUGUAUAUGUGUGUAAAGAAUUUAUUGUGGGAAAUCUAUAUUAGUGCCAAAGCGAUUAAUGCUAAUUAAUGUUCCCAAGUUUAAUAACAAAAGAAUUAAUAGUGAACAGCCACUUACUAUAAAGUGUUUCCUUGACAUUUCUUACUAAAAAUAAAAAUUCAGAGCAUGCUGCAUAGAUUUGAAGGAAGAAGAAAAAGAAAGAUUAGGUAAAGAAAACAUCUCACUGUAAUUUAAACCAUUAUUUGUCUGACAGCUUUUUAUCUCCUGUCUGGAAGAAAUAAACAUAUUAAAUUUUUUAUUAAAAUAGUUAGACUUCGUAAGAGUAUUUUUCCCAGUUCAGUAAUAAAUAUUUAUUUCUGCCAGAAACAAAGAAGUUUGUCUGUGAGGCUUUUACUGAAGCUUAGCCAAAGGUACGAGUCUUUUAAUGAAGAAAUACAGCUUUUACAGACUUGCUUUCUCUUCUUCGGUAUAAAUUUUGAUGUAUAAAUAACGUUCCUACAGAGACCUGGUCAUCCUCUGGUAUUGAUCACCUGCCUCCCUGUCCUCCAAGGUGUUGGCGCCUUUGAUUAUUGUUUAUGAAGGAUGAAGAGCACUGUAUCAAUUAAAGGAUAGCUCUGAAAUGUGGAGUUAAACCACAGCCACGAUCUGGAUGUGCUCCGCCUAUGAUCUGGACGUGGAUAGGGUUUCUCUGUCUGUGCUUCUGGCAAAUGUGGUCUGAAUCAGUCAUAGCCUCAAACAAAUGUCAGCACCUUUACUGGGAAAUGUAGUGACCAGUGGAUUAGACAAACGAGAGGGCUGGAAAUGGGUCUGCUUCAAGUCUUACCAUCUACCUUGUGGAGUGACAUCUGGAGAUGGUGGAGGUAAGAGAACUACCGCAGAACAGGCAGGAAAGGAUAUAUCUUGGGUGUCUGUAGCUCGGGUUGUAUUGGAGGGCAGAGUCAAACCUUGUAGUUAUGGGGAUUUGCCAUGGAUCUGGAGGUGUGUGGCAGAGGGCCGGUAGGUCAGUGUUUAAUGGGGAGGCAUGUAUUAUUUAUUCUUGCUUUUGGGUACAGAUGGACCCAAAUCAAGCCGUGCCUCCAGACUGCAGGGGUGUUAGAACUGGGUCCAA